rnacentral:rRNA from 2 species
UGGGGAAUAUUGCACAAUGGAGGGAACUCUGAUGCAGCGACGCCGCGUGAACGAAGAAGGCUUUCGAGUCGUAAAGUUCUUUUAUAUGGGAAGAUAAUGACGGUACCAUAAGAAAAAGCCCCGGCUAACUACGUUCCAGCAGCCGCGGUAAUACGUAGGGGGCUAGCGUUGUCCGGAAUCACUGGGCGUAAAGGGUUCGCAGGCGGAAAUGCAAGUCAGGUGUAAAAGGCAGUAGCUUAACUACUGUAAGCAUUUGAAACUGCAUAUCUUGAGAAGAGUAGAGGUAAGUGGAAUUUUUAGUGUAGCGGUGAAAUGCGUAGAUAUUAAAAAGAAUACCGGUGGCGAAGGCGACUUACUGGGCUCAUUCUGACGCUGAGGAACGAAAGCGUGGGUAGCAAACAGG